CGCGAGGCAGAGCAAACCCCUAAAAGCCGUCUCAGUUCGGAUUGCAGGCUGCAACUCGCCUGCAUGAAGUCGGAAUUGCUAGUAAUCGCGGAUCAGCAUGCCGCGGUGAAUACGUUCCCGGGCCUUGUACACACCGCCCGUCACACCAUGAGAGCCGGUAACCACCCGAAGUCAAUAGUCUAACCGCAAGGAGGACAUUGCCGAAGGUGGGAUUGGUAAUUGGGGUGAAGUCGUAACAAGGUAUC
rnacentral:rRNA from 1 species